UGGGGUGUCUCGCCUUAAGUGAAGAUGAGCAUGAAUAUUGAUAUUUGGAUCAACUUGAUCUUUUUUAUUAGGAGGACUAUCGGCGCACAGUAACUGAGAUCGAUGAGAAGGAAUACAUCAGUCUGAAGAUCAUAGUUUCUGAGCUCAGAAAUCAAUAUGUAACGUUACACGACAUGAUCCUGAAGAACAUAGAGAAGAUCAGGAAGCCUAGAAGCAGUAAUACUGAAGCGUUGUACUGAUGUUCACACAGCCAUCUCUGCCUCCACCCUAUCAUGCCUGUUGAGCUGCAGUAGCCCUCGUCCGCAGGACUACAACUCAACUUUCACCUACAGUACAAUCAUCACCACCCAGUACAAGGACAAAGCAUCCAUACAUGGACACAUGUUUUUGUUUUAAAUGUAAAAUAUUGUUCUUGUUUGAAACCCUUUGAAGGAAAAUGGGGAAAUAGAUCAUAGACGACAAAAAGCUCUAUGUAUUUUAAUUUUAAUUAAACAUUUCGUCCUCAGCUCCAUUUAUAUAUCUUAAAAUAAUUCAAAGCAAAGUGGUUUGUUUCAUGUCCCCUGCUUUCCUGAAUUUUCCUUUUAUUUAAGUCUUCUAUUUGACUCUUACACCAUCUUUCUUGUUGCACAUCCAUUAUAGUCUUGAGGAUACGCAACACGAAAGCUGUUUUAUUUUUUUCUCCGAAUGUUAUACAUUACACAGUAUAAUGGUAACAUCUGAAUACUAAGCAGGUUUUAGUUCUACAUGCUUAUUAGUUUUCAGUGAAAAUUCCCGAGUCACCAAAGCAUCUCUUAUGUUAAGGCAUUGAUGUUACUGAAUAAAACCUUUUGAUAAAA